rnacentral:misc_RNA from 1 species
UGAUUAUUUCCUAAACGUGUUAACAUUAAUAUAACUUUUUUUUCCCCCUUAAUUAUUAUCCUCUGCACUAAAGUUAAGAGCUUGAUCACUAAAGUUUUAAUGAAAUGGUAUAGUUUUCACCAAUUAUCUGAACAAAUUAAUUAACAAUCUUCCAAAGUUUAGUAUAAUUAACCAAUAAAAAACUCAUAUAUGAAAAGGAACUUUGAGCAUCAUCUGAUAAAGUUAUGCCUAAUUGAAAACAAGCAACAAAGAUACAAACCCAGAAAUUAAAUUUGCAGAAGAAUGAAAUCAAUGGCCAUGUAUAUAUCAUCAUUAUUCAUUCACUAACAACCACAUGAACAAGAAAAAACAGAGCAUUUUCCCGUAUUACACUCAAACAAUAAAAGAUAUAUACAAGAAAGAAGAAAAAUAGGAAGAAAUCAAUACCAACAUACAGCAAUUGAAGAGUAGGUAAAAAAUUGACGAUGACUUACC